UCAUGCGGAGGGUUUUGAACGGUUUGAUCCUUAUGUGUAUGUAAGAUAUCUCUUGUGCAAUCGAAAGGUAUAUGUUGUAUUUUGAAGUAUAGGGACGCUUAAGAAAGUGGACUCAGCUGAUGUGAAAAUAAAUGCAGAGGUUUGCAGAGAAUGUCAGUGCUAGAUGAUCUAUGUAUUCACAAAACUUGUAAAUGAUUUGAGUUUGAUCUCAUUGUGGCAUUAUUAGAGUGAAAGGUGUUAUGAAUUGUUAAGAGUGCCUUAAUAUAUGGCUUCGAGCCAAGUUGGGGAGGUGGCUGUUGGUCAGCUGAUGGCAUGGUUAUGUGCCAUGGUGGUUCCGUUUUGAGGUAGGAUGCCGGAUCAGUUCUGGUUACAGAAAUUGAGCCGAGGAUGGCUCGUGCGAAGGAAAAUGUCUACGAAGGUUAAAUGGUGCUUGCGUAAUGUGUGAAAUGCUAGGAUGUUUUGAGCUGCUGUAGGUAAAGAAGAAUUUCUACAAAGGUUAUAUGGUGCUUCGUAUGUGUGAGGAAUACUGAGAUGUUUUGAGCUGUUGAUGAUAAAAAAUACUCAGUGUAUAGAGAAGAAAGAUGGUUAUUGCAUCUGUAUGAAAUUAUGUUAUGCGGUGUCUGGGUACUAAUAAGGCACGAGUUGUUCCGUUCAUUUAGGGCAGGUGAAUUGCAACUUAAUAAGAGUGGAUGACUCUCGAGAAUGGUUUUUAUAUGUUCAAGAUUUUGCAUGUAACAAUCAGGUGUCUUAAGUUUGUGUAUGUGGCUAGAGACUUGACUCUCGAGAAUGGUUUUACCUGUUCAAGAUUUUUCAUGUAACAAAAAGGUGUCUUAAGUUUGUGUACGUGGCGAGGGACUGUGUUUCCAUGAGAAAAGAUCAAGACUUGUGGUAAUUUGUGUUAAUCAUGGGAUUCUACGUAUCCGCAUUUGGAAGGUAAUGGUAAACAAAUUCAGAAUCGCAUGAAAUUCUUCAAGGUAAAGCAUUAUGGAAUGUGGCAUUUCUGGGAAACGUUUGAGAGGGUAUUCCGUGGCCUGUGGGUCUUGGACAGUGUGGUUUUAUGUGCGAGUCUCGUGUGGUAACCUAGGUCGGGGUAUUGUGGUGCUACAGCAAGGGAGAAUAUCAAAUUAUAGACGAGCCGGGAAGGAAAUUGGAUAAAAUGGAAUAGCUUGAUAAUGAACCGAAUAGGUAUGGUAAGGAUAUGAUUAAUUAUUGUAUGUGUUCGAGGUAAUGAGCCUUACAGGUAUUGU
rnacentral:lncRNA from 1 species